rnacentral:tRNA from 1 species
GGUGUCGGCGGGCAGGCCCGGCAUGGUGAUCUCCAGGGUCACCGCGAGCCCGAACCCGGCUCCGGCCCGGCCGAUGCCG